rnacentral:rRNA from 1 species
GACGAACGCUGGCGGCGUGCCUAACACAUGCAAGUCGAACGGAAAGGCCCUGCUUUUGUGGGGUGCUCGAGUGGCGAACGGGGGAGUAACACGUGAGUAAACCGUCCCUGUCUUUGGGGUAACUUUAGGAAACCGGGGCUAAAACCCGAUAGGAGCUCCUGCUGCAUGGUGGGGGUUGGAAAGUUUCGGCGGUUGGGGAUGGACUCGCGGCUUAUCAGCUUGUUGGUGGGGUAGUGGCUUACCAAGGCUUUGACGGGUAGCCGGCCUGAGAGGGUGACCGGCCACAUUGGGACUGAGAUACGGCCCAGACUCCUACGGGAGGCAGCAGUGGGGAAUAUUGCACAAUGGGCGGAAGCCUGAUGCAGCAACGCCGCGUGCGGGAUGACGGCCUUCGGGUUGUAAACCGCUUUCGCCUGUGACGAAGCGUGAGUGACGGUAAUGGGUAAAGAAGCACCGGCUAACUACGUG